GGGAAUGUGGCUUAGUGGUAGAGUGCUAGCUUUGCACGCAUGAAGCCCUGGGUUCGAUUCCUCAGUACCA
rnacentral:tRNA from 1 species